CAACGGCCCUCCCUCUACUGACCCAGUAAACUCCCUGUCGGAGUCAGUGACACAGCCCUGACUUCCUCCCACCUCAGCAGGAAGGGCCAGCUUGGUGUCCUGUAGACGGGAAUGUGGAGCGUUGUUCGCAUACGCAGUUUUCAGCAAAGGAAUGUCUCAGAAUCUCCCCGGUUCCAGCAUUCAAACCACAGACCAGAAAGAAGGCUGUAUGUGGUGAGAAACACAACCGGGGAGGUGCGCCAUGUCCGGGUCACCAGGUGCCUUGUUCAAGCCCAUCGAAUGGCCCACGCAGCAAAGCGACAUAGUCAUAUUUAUGAGGAAAAUUGUGGCUCAGCAUGUUUAAGCAACUCUCUCAAGAUCACACAGCAUGUAAGGGCUGGAACCAAUACUUGCGCCCCAGGUUUCUCUGCCUCGAAAGGACAAGCAUGCCGGCCACAGCCUCUGGUGUGGCAUAAAGGAAAAGAUACUUUUCCCAUGGGGGGUCAACUUGGCAUUUCUGAAGCAGCACCCUUCCACGCUGAACAGAACAACAAAGAGAAUUAAUAGGCACCAUUAAGUUCAUGGAAUGCUGGGACCUCCCUCCUGGGAGGCCCACAAGCAUCCAUGAAUAGAUCUGAAAGAGAAAUGUUUUAUAAUUUGUGAAGAAUUUAUUUAAGAUUUAGUAUACCCACCUACUACUUCUUAGUUCUACUGAUUUAGAUGACGACAAGUGAUUUAGCCAAAAAAAUAAGUUAUUGAUGAUUGAUUUAUGAAUAUUUAGAAACAGCAACAUUGAUUUGGAGCCAGUGCUGGGAGCUAUGUUCACCAAGAUCAAAUCAUGUCAGGCUCAUGCCAUGUUUACCUUAUGUCUAUGCAAUCCUCCUGAAAUAGAUUAGGGGGAUGCCAGAGAGAUACUCAGUCCUGAUUUCAUCAAGCUUCCUAGGAAAACACUUUAUGAUAUCAUUGUUGAAUCAGUGUGAGAAUGGUAAAUUGAAUACUAGUUCAACUGAACAGAGGUGUUAGCGACUUAAACAAUAUCAUCCUAAAAGGAUCAGUGUUGACUUGGGUGUAUCUAGUGAUGCACUAUAGGACAUCAGACUUAGACUUGUCUUUUUCAAUAUAUUUUUGAUGACUUGGAGAAUGUGAUCUAUCUUCUGAUCUUCAGCUUCAUCAUGGACACUUCAUCUGGAAAUCUUCAUGUGGAUGUCCAAAGCAACUCAACCUAAAAUGUCCAAAACUGACCUCAUUCUCCUCUCUCUCAGACUUGCCUCUCUCUAUUUCUUCCCAGCUCAAUUAAUGGACUGCGAUAUUAGUCAAGACUCUUAGCUGCAAGUGUCUGAACUCAACUUGAACUAGCUUAGUCAACAAAGGGGAAGUAUUGUCUCAGGAAAUCUAAGGAGUGUUGUAUAAUCAAACUGUAGGAGAAACAGGGAUGCAAAUGGGCCCCAAGAAGAACUGGAACCAGGGUCUCGAACAUUAUCAGGACUUUGCUCUCUGCUUCUCCUUGCCUGUUAGUUUCAUUUUCUUUUGCUUCAGACUGACUGCUGUACAUGGUGGAAAACAUGGCUGCCGGCUCCAUCAUCUUUUAUCUUGCAACUUUGUCUUAGGUCAAGCUGCUAUAAUAAAAAUACCAUAGACUGGGUGACUUAAAUAACAAACAAUGAAAAAUAUUUCACAGUUCUGGAAGUUGGGAAGUCUACAGUCAAGGCUCUGGAAGAUCUUGUGUCUGGUGAGCAUGCACGUCCUGGCUUGUAGAUGGCUGCCUUCUCACCGUAUCUUCACAUGGCAGAGAGAGAGCAUCAUUCUCAUGUCAUUUCUGAUAAGGGUAUGAAUCCCAUUCAUGAUCCUCACCCCCAAACACCAUCGCACUGGGGAUUAGGUUUCAACGUGUGAAUUUGGGGGGGGGGGGUCACAAAAUUCAGUCCUUAGCAAAUUUCUAUCCAUAAAAAGGGACUGACUGAAGCUUGCUUUGGUUCCAAGUUCAACAUCUGGACAAGAACUCUGAUUGGCUUGGCUUGAGUCAGUUGCCCUCCUCUGCAUCCAUUACCUGCUUCCAGGGGUUGAGGUUCCAUGAUCGUCACAGGUGAGGUGUCUUUCUGGACCAAUCGGUUAAGUCCACGGGGGCAAAAUUACGGGAAAAACAAUGGCAUCUCCCUUGAAGUAAAUUGUUAAGCAGUUUUCUGAAGAAAAAGUGUAUAUUUUUUCAGUAAAAAACACAGAAUGCUAGGUAAACAAAGCCAUAGGUGUCCACUGUGAUCAUCCACCCACUCACAUCAGUGAGAGACCCGUCCUAGAGUCUCUCCAGAACUCCCUCAGUCAGAAAAUCCCCAAAUGUAUCAAAUUGGCCCCCUCCCAUUUUUUCCAAAUACAUUCUACUUUUUAAAUACAGAUCCUCCCCAUUUCUUGCCUGAAAAAUUAGUGGUAGUUUUACCUGGUGGCACUGACUUCUGUCUUCACCAUCCCUCAUGUAACCAUCGGAAUGAACUUUCUAAAACACAAAUCUGAUCAUACUUGCAAGAUUCUCCAUCAUUCAGAGAAUAAAGUUCCAAAUCUAACAUAUAAGACAAGGUCCCUCCUAACGAAGCUUGAGGUCACUUCUCCAGGCUCAUCUUCACUGAUUCCUAAUUUAUUCAUAUUCCAGUGUUUCAACUUGCUUCUUUUGGAAAUGCACCCAGAUGGCUCACCCAGCAAAUACAAGGAACAUUUGCUUAACUGCAGAGCUUUAGAAGUUAGCAAGAUAAUUCUGAAGACCUCCAUCUUCAGCUGUUGAUAGGGACCUGAUUUUACACAGAACCUUAGAGAGAAAUAGAUGGAGAGACACACUAGUUUACCCUUCCUUUCUUUUUACAGUUGAGAUACUGAGUCCAAGGAGAAUAAAGCCACUUUAUCUAUGUGCUGAUGAGCAGGAGCCCAGUCUUCUGACCCCCAUUCCAAUGCCCCCAAUCCAGUAAGAAGUGACAACAGUUCUUAUGUUUAUAAGAGGAGUCAACAAGGGAGGAAGGGAAUACAGCUACAGGGAGAAAAGAUCCAGAAAAGGAGGAGGACGUGCCUUCAUUUUCCAGAAUCAUCCUUCACCCCAAAAUGUAAGAAUAAACAAGAAAAGCUUAAGAAGGAUGGGGAGAAGAGGGGCCUGGCAUUCACACAGGAAGUGGAGGCAUAAAGAAGAAGAAAGGAGCAAUGGCUAGUUUAAGAAAUCAUCUCCUCUGAAUGGGGUGGGUCCAGGGCCAGGAAUAAAGGGCCCAGAUGGUUUUAAUGACCAGACUUUGCCUCUCACCUUUCCUCUGGCUGCAGCAGGAACUGUCAGAAGGGAAGGGCCUUAUCUCAUCAGUGAUCUGCCUCCCAGGUUCCCACUGGUGCCUCAGACAUUCUUCACUGAGCCUGGGUCCCGAAGCCUUACACUAGGAAGCCUGCUCACCCAUUCCCAGAGCUGCCCAGUGUUCAGAAAUGUGGUAGGAUUUAUAAGAUGAAUAAUUCUCAGCCUUGGAAGUCUCUUUUGGUCCUUUCCAUCAUUUACUUAAAAAUGUAAACCAUAUUGGAAUAUGAUUUCUGGAUUGUCUGGAUAAAGAAAGAAUUGUUAACAUUUGUGAGAAAUAAAAAAAUAC